CCCGGACCUCUUGCACCGACAGCAAAUCCUUGCGUGGUGCCCAAAUCUCCGGCUUUUACCCCAAAACCCAGCCCUGACCCUCCUCUGCAAGGCCUCCGGCUUCACCUUCAGCAGCACCCACAUGGUUUGGGUGCGACAGGCACCCGGGAAAGGGCUCGAGUGGGUCGCGAGUAUUGACAGCGGUGGUAGCACCACAUACUACGCGUCGUCGGUCAAAGGGCGCUUCACCAUCUCAAGGGACAACUCCCAGAGCACGCUCAAGCUGCAGAUGAACAGCCUCAGGGCCGACGACACGGCCACCUACUACUGCACGAAAGACGCUGGUGGUUAUUGUGGUGGUGCUGGUUAUG